rnacentral:pre_miRNA from 1 species
CUGGCUCUCUCCAGCUCCCUGCAAGGAGGCUGGAGCCAGGUUCCACCUGGUUCCACCUGGCUCCUUGCAGGGAGCUGGAGAGAGCCAGA